GAUGAAGAACGUAGCGAAAUGCGAUAAGUAAUGUGAAUUGCAGAAUUCAGUGAAUCAUCGAAUCUUUGAACGCACAUUGCGCCCGCUAGUAUUCUGGCGGGCAUGCCUGUCCGAGCGUCAUUUCAACCCACAAGCCCCCGGGCUUGGUGUUGGGGAUCGGCGAGCCUCCGCGCCCGCCGUCCCCUAAAUCUAGUGGCGGUCUCGCUGUAGCUUCCUCUGCGUAGUAGCACACCUCGCACUGGGAAACAGCGCGGCCACGCCGUUAAACCCCCAACUUCUGAACGUUUGACCUCGGAUCAGGUAGGAAUACCCGCUGAACUUAAGCAUAUCAAUAAGCGGAGGA
rnacentral:misc_RNA from 1 species